rnacentral:rRNA from 1 species
ACAUUGUGCUUGCACAGAUGACGACCGGCGCACGGGUGCGUAACGCGUAUAGAACCUACCUUUUACAGAGGAAUAGCCUUUAGAAAUGAAGAUUAAUGCCUCAUAGUAUUGUAGACUGGCAUCAGUUUAUAAUUAAAGAUUUAUCGGUAAAAGAUGGCUAUGCGUCCUAUUAGUUAGUUGGUAAGGUAACGGCUUACCAAGACAGCGAUAGGUAGGGGUCCUGAGAGGGAGAUCCCCCACACUGGUACUGAGACACGGACCAGACUCCUACGGGAGGCAGCAGUGAGGAAUAUUGGACAAUGGAGGAGACUCUGAUCCAGCCAUGCCGCGUGUAGGAAGAAUGCCCUAUGGGUUGUAAACUACUUUUAUACAGGAAGAAACACUGGUAUGUAUACCAGCUUGACGGUACUGUAAGAAUAAGGACCGGCUAACUCCGUGCCAGCAGCCGCGGUAAUACGGAGGGUCCGAGCGUUAUCCGGAAUCAUUGGGUUUAAAGGGUCCGCAGGCGGUCUAUUAAGUCAGAGGUGAAAUCCCAUAGCUCAACUAUGGAACUGCCUUUGAUACUGGUUGACUUGAGUCAUAUGGAAGUAGAUAGAAUGUGUAGUGUAGCGGUGAAAUGCAUAGAUAUUACACAGAAUACCGAUUGCGAAGGCAGUCUACUACGUAUGUACUGACGCUGAG